UACUAGGUGUUGGCUUCCAUAGGGAGUCGGUGCCGCAGCUAACGCAAUAAGUAUUCCACCUGGGGAGUACGUUCGCAAGAAUGAAACUCAAAGGAAUUGACGGGGACCCGCACAAGCGGUGGAGCAUGUGGUUUAAUUCGAAGCAACGCGAAGAACCUUACCAAAUCUUGACAUCCUCUUGACAAAGUAUGUAAUGUACUCUUCCUUCGGGACAAGAGUGACAGGUGGUGCAUGGUUGUCGUCAGCUCGUGUCGUGAGAUGUUGGGUUAAGUCCCGCAACGAGCGCAACCCUUGUCCUUAGUAGCCAGCAAUUCGGUUGGGCACUCUAGGGAGACUGCCCGGGUGAACCGGGAGGAAGGUGGGGAUGACGUCAAAUCAUCAUGCCCCUUAUGAUUUGGGCUACACACGUGCUACAAUGGCGUAAACAAAGGGAAGCAAUUGGGUGACCAUGAGCAAAUCUCAAAAAUAACGUCUCAGUUCGGAUUGUAGUCUGCAACUCGACUACAUGAAGCUGGAAUCGCUGGUAAUCGCGAAUCAGAAUGUCGCGGUGAAUACGUUCCCGGGUCUUGUACACACCGCCCGUCACACCAUGGGAGUUGGGAAUGCCCGAAGUCUGUGACCCAACCGCAAGGAGGGAGCAGCCGAAGGCAGGCUCGAUAACUGGGGUGAAGUCGUAACAAGGUAACCGUA
rnacentral:rRNA from 1 species